CCUACGGGUGGCAGCAGUGGGGAAUAUUGCACAAUGGGGGAAACCCUGAUGCAGCGACGCCGCGUGAGUGAAGAAGUAUUUCGGUAUGUAAAGCUCUAUCAGCAGGGAAGAAAAUGACGGUACCUGAUUAAGAAGCCCCGGCUAACUACGUUCCAGAAGCCGCGGUAAUACGUCGGGGGCAAGCGUUAUCCGGAUUUACCGGGUGUAAAGGGAGCUUAGACGGCGGUACAAGUCUGGAGGGAAAUGCCGGGGCUUAACCCCGGAACUGCCUUGGAGACUGUGCAGCUAGAGUGCAGGAGCGGUAAGUGGAAUUCCUAGUGUAGCGGUGAAAUGCGUAGAUAUCAGGAGGAACACCAGUGGCGAAGGCGGCUUACUGGACUGUAACUGACGUUGAGGCUCGAAAGCGUGGGGAGCAAACAGGAUUAGAUACCCGUGUAGUC
rnacentral:rRNA from 1 species